rnacentral:snRNA from 1 species
GGAUGUGAGGGUGAUCUGGCUGAGACAUCUGUCACCCCACUGAUCUCCAGGGUUGAUUCGGGUGAUCUGGCUGGCUGGAUGAGGGUCCUCUUCCUCCCUCAAUGCUCCAUGUGUGUCCCUCCUGAAGCUGCGCGCUGGGUCGAAGAGGAUGACCACUCCUGAUAGAGGAGGACAGCUGUGCUGCCCUGCUGGAACCUCCAAACAAGCUCUCAAGGUCCCUUCUUGUGCUGGCCAGUGGUUGCCUCUGCAGACGGCAUUUUUAAUUAGCGUGGGGAGGUAUU